rnacentral:lncRNA from 1 species
ACAGCCAAAGAGUAGGUCAAGUCCACAGAACACCGUAUAGCUGCACAAGAGCGUUCCAAGUGCCUAGAAGUGUUCAAAAAACUAGAGGAAAAAGUCUACAUCACCCCCUGAAAAUUAUGGGUGGUGUCUACUUUACCCCCGAACUAUGAAACAGUCUACUUUACCAUUUGAACUAUACAAAACUGUUCAAAUCACCCCCU